rnacentral:rRNA from 1 species
ACAGCAGUAGCCACGGUAAUACGGAGGGAGCUAGCGUUGUUCGGAAUUACUGGGCGUAAAGCGCACGUAGGCGGCUUUGUAAGUUAGAGGUGAAAGCCUGGGGCUCAACUCCAGAAUUGCCUUUAAGACUGCAUCGCUUGAAUCAUGGAGAGGCGGGUGGAAUUCCGAGUGUAGAGGUGAAAUUCGUAGAUAUUCGGAAGAACACCAGUGGCGAAGGCGGCCCGCUGGACAUGUAUUGACGCUGAGGUGCGAAAGCGUGGGAAGCAAACAGGAUUAGAUACCCCCGUAGUCCCUGUCUCUUAUAC